rnacentral:lncRNA from 1 species
GUCAUCCCUACUGCCUCUGAUCUGGCUGACUCACUAAGCAGAGAACAUACCUGGUCAUCCCUACUGCCUCUGAUCUGGCGGACUUACUAAACACAAAUGUAUCUUUUGUAAAUAAUGUCUGAGUGUUGGAGUGUGCCCCUGGCUAUCCAUACAUUUUUAAAACAAGAAAAUGAUGCCUUCUGCUUUGCUUAAUAUCAGGAAUUUGAAAUGAUUUAUGCUUGUACUUUCACUUUUGAUACUUAAAUAUAUUUAGAACCAAGUACUUUUAGACUUUUACUCAAGUAGUAUUUUACUGGGUGACUUUUACUUGAGUAACUUUCUAUUUAGGUAUCGAUACUUUUAAUCAAGUAUGAUAAUUGGUUAUUUUUCCACCACUGGAUAUGAUGUGAUGUCAUCUUUGUGCUGCAGCAAUGCUGUCAACAUGUUUGCCACAGCAGAGGGCCUCCUGACCCAGGAGGACCUCGUCAACAAAGACUGACUACAGGAAGUGUUUGCCACAAACCUCUUUGGUCAUUUCAUGCUGCACUCACUGUUUGUGCAAAAACCGGAGUCCCUGGAUCCAAGAGCAAAGUACCACUGUUUGACGUCAGACAUAGGGAGCAACUACACGCAACCUCGACAAAUGGACGUUGAUGACGACGUGUCAGGGGCCCUGUAUGUGAAACUGCUGGAAAUGGAAAAAGCUACUCAUAAGUGAUUAAAAGAGGAGGAUGAUGAUAAACAAGCUUACAAAAAGUACCUCCACCAGACAGAGUCGUCUUUUGUCCGGCUAUUCUCCUCGACUGACCUAGUAUAAAACCACUUGACUUUUAUUCUAUAAGAUAGAAUCUAUAUGGAUGAAACGGUUUAACUCCCAAUGUGAAUGGAAGGAAACCGUGUGCUCUGUAUAAAUUGACCAUCGCCAUGAGGCACUACACUCUCAUUGUCUUACGUCAGAUGGCGUCACUACUACGCAACGCUUGUCCCCUCAACCAAUCAGUGCAGGUGGAAUCGUAGCGCUAUCUGACGUAAGACAAUGGAGGAACCCUCUAACAAAGAUCACAUGGGUCUCUUUCAGGUUCCAAAUAACACCUAUACUGAAACGCUAUUAAAAUGGAAUUCAAUGGGGGACAUUUGUUAUCGUCACUUUGAAAGGGACUAGGCUGUAAAUUCCUGCUGCUAACUCAUUGAUCUAAAUGUGGUGGCUCUAUACUAUGAAGACCUUUUGUGAAUUAUAAAGCGCACAUGGUAAUAACUUGACCAAAAUUAGAUAAAUGAUGUGAAAGCCUUCAUUUUCUGUGAGUGUUAUGUUCACAGGUGCUGCCUUAUGGUAAGAUGAAGAGCUACUUGUGAGCUGUUGAACUUUUAUUAAAAUGUACGUUUAAAAUGAAUGAUUUUUGCCCUUCUUGUUUCAUUUGUUAGAACUAAAAUGUUGGUGUUGUCUGUAUUGCUAAGUGUGUGAGUUGAAAUAGCC